GACGAACGCUGGCGGCGUGCUUAACACAUGCAAGUCGAACGGAAAGGCCCUGCUUGCAGGGUACUCGAGUGGCGAACGGGUGAGUAACACGUGGGUGAUCUGCCCUGCACUUCGGGAUAAGCUUGGGAAACUGGGUCUAAUACCGGAUAGGAGCCAUCUUUAGUGUGGUGGUUGGAAAGUUUUUUCGGUGUAGGAUGAGCUCGCGGCCUAUCAGCUUGUUGGUGGGGUAAUGGCCUACCAAGGCGGCGACGGGUAGCCGGCCUGAGAGGGUGUACGGCCACAUUGGGACUGAGAUACGGCCCAGACUCCUACGGGAGGCAGCAGUGGGGAAUAUUGCACAAUGGGCGCAAGCCUGAGGCAGCGACGCCGCGUGGGGGAUGAAGGCCUUCGGGUUGUAAACUCCUUUCGCUAGGGACGAAGCUUUUUUGUGACGGUACCUAGAGAAGAAGCACCGGCUAACUACGUG
rnacentral:rRNA from 1 species